rnacentral:rRNA from 1 species
CCUACGGGAGGCAGCAGUGAGGAAUAUUGGUCAAUGGACGAGAGUCUGAACCAGCCAAGUAGCGUGAAGGAUGACUGCCCUAUGGGUUGUAAACUUCUUUUAUAUGGGAAUAAAAUGUUCCACGUGUGGGAUUUUGUAUGUACCAUAUGAAUAAGGAUCGGCUAACUCCGUGCCAGCAGCCGCGGUAAUACGGAGGAUCCGAGCGUUAUCCGGAUUUAUUGGGUUUAAAGGGAGCGUAGGUGGAUUGUUAAGUCAGUUGUGAAAGUUUGCGGCCCAACCGUAAAAUUGCAGUUGAAACUGGCAGUCUUGAGUACAGUAGAGGUGGGCGGAAUGCGUGGUGUAGCGGUGAAAUGCUUAGAUAUCACGAAGAACUCCGAUUGCGAAGGCAGUUCACUGGACUGCAACUGACACUGAGGCUCGAAAGUGUGGGUAUCAAACAGGAUUAGAUACCCGUGUAGUC